AUUAGUUUGGCAGUGAACAUCCACACCAGAGCUGGUAAUAGUAUCUGACUUUGGUUGUGGAUCACAACUUCUAUGUGGACCAAGCAAAAAGAAUUAUCCAAUUUAGUCAGUGUUUGCCAAAGAAGCGGGAAUUGAUGUUCUCUCCUCCUACACUGACCAUUUAAUUAGUUACUAUAAUAAAUGACUGAGGAGAAAAAAAAUCUGAAGUAAUUGCUGAGGUCAAAUAUUCUAAUUUAUUUAAUUGGACCCUGGUCUUAUCAGAAGAAUUCAGAAAACCUUGAUAUCUGGGUUAUUUGUAUAUCCAUUGAUUCAUUCAACAAAAAAUACUUCUUCAGCAUCUGUUAUAGUUUGAACAUUAGCCAGAGUUCCGGGAAUACAGAGAAAAAUACACAAUUUCUUCCUCCUAUGAGCUAGACUCACUGGGAGUAAGAGAUAGAAACUGGAAGUUACAUUGCAUCAUUGCACCUGGAGAAGGGACAGCUGAGAGGUGGAAAGGAUGAAGACAGAAAUGAAUAAUGCAGGUGUGCUCUCCUGUAGUGCUUGGAAACACAGAAACCAAAUCAUGCACAUGUCCCGGGAUUUACCGAGUGUCCACAUACAGCAGGGAGUCGGCUUGAGUUUGUCUCCCUCUGCCUCUCUCCCUAUGCUUGCAUGUGUGCUCUCUGUCUCUCUCAAAGAAAUGGCGUCUUAAAAAAUAAGGACGUAUACAACUGAAUUGUACGAAAGGAUGAUCCAUCUCUGAGGCUACAAAAAGCACUUCAUAAAAAAAAGAAAAGCACUUCAUGAAAGGAAAGAAGGUCCAUAAAGCAAAAAACAAGAUUUUUUGAUCUUUGUACCCAGAUGGAUGCCUGACCUACAGUGGGAAGUCAAUGAUUACUUGUUUUUGUCUGGGGAACAAAUGAAAUUAUAGUUUUUACAUAAUGGAAGCUCUCUAUCUUGUCACAAAAUUUGGAAGGAAUUGAUUUACUACCAAUUGGAAGAUUAGAUUCUUUGAUCUAACUCAGAAUGUAGGAAAUGGUGAACAGUAUGAAAUGAUGCAGAGAGAUCAUAAGGAUGAAGAUUUAGCUACCUCAAGAUAUUUAAUGAUCUUCAUGAUGAUGAGGGGAACAAAGGCAAGCAGAGAAUUGUAGCUAAAAUGAAGUCUCCUUACAAUGUGUAGCCCACUGAUAAAUGCUUGACACAUACAGGGCAUAACACUCCUACAACCUUAAUGUUCGACCAAUGUAGCUUUGCUUUGCUUAAUGUAAUUUCAUUCUGAUAACUGCAAACCUCCAGAUAUAACAAUCAUCUUGCAACAUGUGACCCACUAACACAUAUCUAAAGGGUCUCAUGACUAAUGCUUUACUAAAGCAAUAAAGAAUAACCUUAUCUUGACAAUAAAUAGCCCUCCAAAGUCUUGGAGACCCUGCUUUCAGUAUAUAUAGAUUCCUUAGAGACUUACAUUAUCCCUAGGUCUCACUAACUAAAAAGUAUAUAAUCAGUGGCCCCACAUCAAUGAGACCAGUAUAAAGGUUGAGGGGAUAGCUGUCAGAAUGCAGGGAGCUAAAGAGAAAGUCACCUAUAGGUGAGGUGAUAGAGCAGAUAGUAUUUUUUAAAAAAUAUUUUACUUAUUUACUUGAGAGAGAGAGAGAGAGAGAGAAAGAGCAAGAUAGAGAGCAGAGCAUGAAGGAGGAGCAGAGAGAGAAGCAGACUCUCCACUGAGCAGGGAGGCCACUGCAGGGCUCCACCCCUGGACCCAAUUCCAGGACCCUAAGGCAGAUGCUUAAAAUGGACUGAGCCACCCAGGCACCCCUAGAGUAGAUAGUAUUAAGGAGGAAUAAAUAUUUCUUGAACAUAGAAGCAUCCUGGAAAGAUGGUAUAGAGCCAAAUUGUAGCCGCACACUCUAAAUUAGGAUUUUGUACUUUCAGAAGCAAUGAAAACUACUGAACAUAUUUCGGUGGUGGUAGUUACAAUACCAAAGUGCUAUUUAGGAAGAGUCAUCUGAUGGCCAUAUUCAGGUUAGAUUGGGAGAUAUCAAUUGUCCUGUAUAGUAGAGUUUUGGUAAUUACUAGUAAAAAAGUAAGUGGAGGAUCUGAGAAGAGCCGAGUGGAUAAGAUGCUUAUAAUACCAUACUAGAUUUGAAAGAAAAGCUGCCUGCCUGGGGAAGGGAGAGAUGAUUACUGGCUUUGUGGUAGUCAUGUGAAAUUCCACAUAUACAAGAUUGACAUAUAAGCAUUUAGGUGACAGUGUUUAGUAGACUAUGGGAAAUAUGACUACUGUUUAGGAUAGAAUUGAAUGAGUGAUACACCUACCUACUUAGAUUCAACUAGCAUUUGUAUGCUAAUGAAAGUAUUAAGCCUUUUCAUAUCCACUGCCUUUGACAUAGUGGUCAAGCUUUUGGGGAGGGCAUAAUUAGAAUAUAAAAGAAAUCCAUUAGGAGUAGAACAAGGCAAGAUAAAUGUAUACAGUGAACAAAGGUGAAAACGAGGGAAUGACAAAAAGACAAGUCUGAGAGUUCAGUGAACUGAGGAUGUUUAUAAUAACAUUAUUACAGUUAACAGUUACUUAAUUUUUGCUAUGUGUCCAAUACUGUUCUAAGUUCUUUACUCAUAGCAUUUUUUGAGAUUAGACUAUUAUUACUCCAAUUGAACAGGUUAGUAAACUUAGACACAAUAAGAUUAAGUAAGUUAUCUGAGGUCAGGGUGUAACUGGGCCUCAGGGGAGCAAGAGCACUUGGAUAUGGGGGGUACCAUUUAGACCGGGUUUGGCCACUCACUAUUGGCAAAACCCAAAGGCAGAAGGAUGAGUGCAUACUAACAUCUCAAAGAUUGUCUCCAAAGUGCUGAAAAAACUUCUAGGUUUAUGUAAGGAAAAUGUGGGACAAAGGUCAGAGGGUAUCUGCAAGUGGGCAGUAGAGGUCAGGUGGCUCAUUGUCUUUAGGUCAAUCACAUGGGGUCAUGCUGGUGUCUGGGCAGGCCCUAUUGCUUAAAGGGGGUAGUUUUGGUUCCCAUCAGAGGAAGCUUUGCCUGCGGGGGUAUGUUAUCUAAACUAAGACAUAAGCUGGAAAGAGGACUUAAUCAGAAAGUACAGACUGAGGUCAACAUGGAGAGAGUUGAAAUCCUCUUCCAAGGGUUAGUGGAAGGGCAAGUGGUUAAGGCAAGUUUAAACCCAGUGGUCUGGUUUGUGAUUCUUCACUUUUAACCAAUAUUUUACAUCUGUCUCUCCAGAACAAGAAACAUAGGAAGAAAAAUAAAUGAACCAACUUAAAUAAACUAUGCAAUACCCAAAUUUGUAUAUAUAGAAGAUAACAGGAUUGGAUUUUUAUUUUAAAUUCUAGUUCUUUGUUAUCGUGAGGAAAAAUUUCACUUGUCUUCAAGAUCAACCUCCACUGUGACAGAAAAUAUUUGGAUGAGAUUAAUUCUUAGUUUGGAGCCUUAAAAAAAAGCAAACUCUCAAAACAAAAUCAAAUCCUCAAGUCAGCUUUAAUCACUUUAACGUAAAGCAAUACAUAAAAAUAUUGUAAUUGAGAGUCAUAGUUUACUUCAAACCCUACUGACACGAUGUUUACUUACUUCACAGGUUUUUAGGCAAUUUUCUAUUAUUAUUCCAACAACACCUAACAAGGAGUCUAACACUUUGGAUUAGGUGGUAUUUAUAUCCCUGAGAGUUUAGAGAAGCAAAAACAGUACCAGACUGGACUGGAUAUAUUGAAUAAAUCUUGAAA